GCGUAACGCGUGGGAAUCUGCCCUUAGGUUCGGAAUAACUCCCUGAAAGGGGUGCUAAUACCGGAUAAUGUCUUCGGACCAAAGAUUUAUCGCCUUUGGAUGGGCCCGCGUUGGAUUAGCUUGUUGGUGGGGUAAAGGCCUACCAAGGCGACGAUCCAUAGCUGGUCUUAGAGGAUGAUCAGCCACACUGGGACUGAGACACGGCCCAGACUCCUACGGGAGGCAGCAGUGGGGAAUAUUGGACAAUGGGCGAAAGCCUGAUCCAGCAAUGCCGCGUGAGUGAUGAAGGCUUAGGGUUGUAA
rnacentral:rRNA from 1 species